GAUGAACGCUGGCGGCGUGCCUAAUACAUGCAAGUCGAACGAAGAUGAAAGCUUGCUUUCAUCUUAGUGGCGAACGGGUGAGUAAUACAUAAACAAUCUACCGCAGAGCCUGGGAUAACCAAUGGAAACGUUGGCUAAUACCGGAUAGGUUAAAGUGAGGCAUCUUACUUUAAUUAAAGUUGGGUUACAACACCCUGCGAUGAGUUUAUGGCGCAUUAGCUAGUUGGUGAGGUAACGGCUCACCAAGGCGAUGAUGCGUAGCCGACCUGAGAGGGUGACCGGCCACACUGGGACUGAGACACGGCCCAGACUCCUACGGGAGGCAGCAGUAGGGAAUUUUCGGCAAUGGGCGCAAGCCUGACCGAGCAGCGCCGCGUGAGUGAAGAAGGCCUUCGGGUUGUAAAGCUCUGUUGCAAGGGAAGAACACUUAAAAGAGGGAAUGCUUUUAAGCUGACGGUACCUUACCAGAAAGCCACGGCUAACUACGUGCCAGCCGCCGCUGUAAGAC
rnacentral:rRNA from 1 species